AGUGAACGCUGGCGGUAGGCCUAACACAUGCAAGUCGAACGGCAGCACAGUAAGAGCUUGCUCUUACGGGUGGCGAGUGGCGGACGGGUGAGGAAUACAUCGGAAUCUACUUUUUCGUGGGGGAUAACGUAGGGAAACUUACGCUAAUACCGCAUACGACCUACGGGUGAAAGCAGGGGAUCUUCGGACCUUGCGCGAUUGAAUGAGCCGAUGUCGGAUUAGCUAGUUGGCGGGGUAAAGGCCCACCAAGGCGACGAUCCGUAGCCGGUCUGAGAGGAUGAUCAGCCACACUGGAACUGAGACACGGCCCAGACUCCUACGGGAGGCAGCAGUGGGGAAUAUUGGACAAUGGGCGCAAGCCUGAUCCAGCCAUACCGCGUGGGUGAAGAAGGCCUUCGGGUUGUAAAGCCCUUUUGUUGGGAAAGAAAAGCAGCAGGUUAAUACCCCGCUGUUCUGACGGUACCCAAAGAAUAAGCACCGGCUAACUUCGUG
rnacentral:rRNA from 1 species